rnacentral:rRNA from 1 species
AACGAACGCUGGCGGCAGGCUUAACACAUGCAAGUCGAACGAGUGUAGCAAUACACUAGUGGCGCACGGGUGCGUAACGCGUGGGAACCUUCCUCGUAGUUCGGAAUAACUCAGGGAAACUUGGGCUAAUACCGAAUGCCUCCUUCGGGAGAAGAUUUAUCGCUACGAGAUGGGCCCGCGUCAGAUUAGGUAGUUGGUAGGGUAAUGGCCUACCAAGCCGACGAUCUGUAGCUGGCUGAGAGGAUGAUCAGCCACACUGGGACUGAGACACGGCCCAGACUCCUACGGGAGGCAGCAGUGGGGAAUAUUGGACAAUGGGGGCGAACCCUGAUCCAGCCAUGCCGCGUGAGUGAAG